UACGUAGGUGGCAAGCGUUGUCCGGAUUUACUGGGUGUAAAGGGCGUGCAGCCGGAGAGACAAGUCAGAUGUGAAAUCCACGGGCUCAACUCGUGAACUGCAUUUGAAACUGUUUCCCUAGAGUGUCGGAGAGGUAAUCGGAAUUCCUUGUGUAGCGGUGAAAUGCGUAGAUAUAAGGAAGAACGCCAGUGGCGAAGGCGGAUUACUGGACGAUAACUGACGGUGAGGCGCGAAAGCGUGGGGAGCAAACAGG
rnacentral:rRNA from 1 species